UUUAAUGGUCAUAUUGGGGCUGAUGCUGGUGGCUAUGAUGAGGUGCACGGAGGCUUCGGCUUUGGGGUUAGGAACGGAGGGAGCACUUCGCUGCUUGAUUUCACCAGGGCUUCCGAGCUUCUAAUUGCGAACUCGACUUUUCAGAAGAGGGAGGAGCAUUUGGUUACCUUCAAGAGCUCAGCGGCAAGGACUCGGAUUGAUUACAUCCUCAUCCGAAGGAGCGAUAGGGGUCUGUGCAAGGACUGCAAGGUUAUUCGGGGAGGAGCAUUUGGUCACCUUCAAGAGUUCGGCAGCGAGGACGCAGAUUGAUUACAUCCUCAUCAGAAGGAGCGAUAGGGGUAUGUGCAAGGACUGCAAGGUUAUUCCGGGAGAGUCUCUUUCAACUCUUCAUAAACUCCUAGUGAUGGAUGUCGGACCCUGGGUGAAGAGGAAGAGGAGGGGCGCUUGGGGACAACCGCGGAUUAGAUGGGGUGCUUUGACUAAAGAGAAAGCACAAGAGUUCGAAAGGAGGUUAGUUGAGGGCGGAUCUUGGAGAAGUUCUGGGGAAGCGGACGCUAUGUGGACAGUGACGGCGAACUUGGUUAGGGGGUAGCACGGGACGUGCUCGGGGNNNN
rnacentral:lncRNA from 1 species